rnacentral:rRNA from 1 species
GACGAACCGAGCGAACGUUGUUCGGAAUCACUGGGCUUAAAGGGCGCGUAGGCGGGUGCUCAAGUCUGUGGUGAAAUCCUCCAGCUCAACUGGAGAACUGCCAUGGAUGCUGGGUGCCUCGAGGGUGGUAGGGGUAUGCGGAACUAUCGGUGGAGCGGUGAAAUGCGUUGAUAUCAGGAGGAACACCGAUGGCGAAGGCAGUGUUCUGGGCCAGUACUGACGCUGAGGAGCGAAAGCGUGGGGAGCAAACAGG